rnacentral:pre_miRNA from 1 species
GUUACCGGCGGUCUCUAAUUCGCUUGGUGCAGGUCGGGAACUGAUUGGCUAGUUUUUUUUUGAAAUUUUUUGACAGCGAGGUGGCGUGUUGUAAUUGGUCGUCACGUUUAAAUUAAUGAUUGAAAAAAAUGCGAAUUGGAUCCCGCCUUGCAUCAACUGAAUCGGAGACCGAGGUG